CAAUAGCGUAUAUUAAAGUUGUUGCGGUUAAAAAGCUCGUAGUUGGAUCUGCGUUUGGUGAAAGCGGUCGCCCGACGGGUUGUUACUGCUUCUCCCGAACUAAUCAUUCGGUUUUCCCUUGAUGCUCUUCAUUGAGUGUCCUGGGUGACCGGAACUUUUACUUUGAAAAAAUUAGAGUGCUCAAAGCAGGCGAUUCGCCCGAAUAUUCGUGCAUGGAAUAAUGAAAAAGGUCCUUGUAGCCUUUUAUUGGUUAUUGUUAUGAGGAAAUGAUCGACGGGGACAGACGGGGGCAUUUGUAUUGCGACGUUAGAGGUGAAAUUCUUGGAUCGUCGCAAGACAAACUACUG
rnacentral:rRNA from 1 species